GAUGAACGCUAGCUACAGGCUUAACACAUGCAAGUCGCGGGGCAGCAUGGGGGUUGCUUGCAACCCCUGAUGGCGACCGGCGCACGGAUGAGUAACGCGUAUCCAACCUGCCCUUCACCACGGGAUAACCCGGCGAAAGUCGGACUAAUACCGUAUGUUGUCCAUUGACGGCAUCCGAUUUGGACGAAAUGCUUGGCGUUGAAAGGAUGGGGAUGCGUCCGAUUAGCUUGACGGCGGGGUAACGGCCCACCGUGGCUACGAUCGGUAGGGGUUCUGAGAGGAAGGUCCCCCACACUGGAACUGAGACACGGUCCAGACUCCUACGGGAGGCAGCAGUGAGGAAUAUUGGUCAAUGGGCGUAAGCCUGAACCAGCCAAGUAGCGUGCAGGAUGACGGCCCUAUGGGUUGUAAACUGCUUUUAUGCGGGGAUAAAGUGGCCCACGUGUGGGCUUUUGCAGGUACCGCAUGAAUAAGGACCGGCUAAUUCCGUG
rnacentral:rRNA from 1 species